rnacentral:tRNA from 1 species
CCCUUCGUGGUGUAGUGAUCAGCACGCUCGACGGCUAACCGAGAGGUCCGUGGUUCGAUUCCCGGCGAAGGAG